GACGAACGCUGGCGGCGUGCCUAACACAUGCAAGUCGAGCGAGUGAAUCUCCUUCGGGAGUGAAACUAGCGGCGGACGGGUGAGUAACACGUGGGCAACCUGCCUCAUAGAGGGGAAUAGCCUUUCGAAAGGAAGAUUAAUACCGCAUAAGAUUGUAGCUUCGCAUGAAGUAGCAAUUAAAGGAGUAAUUCGCUAUGAGAUGGGCCCGCGGCGCAUUAGCUAGUUGGUGAGGUAACGGCUCACCAAGGCGACGAUGCGUAGCCGACCUGAGAGGGUGAUCGGCCACAUUGGGACUGAGACACGGCCCAGACUCCUACGGGAGGCAGCAGUGGGGAAUAUUGCACAAUGGGGGAAACCCUGAUGCAGCAACGCCGCGUGAGUGAUGACGGCCUUCGGGUUGUAAAGCUCUGUCUUCAGGGACGAUAAUGACGGUACCUGAGGAGGAAGACCACGGCUAACUACGUGCCAGCAGCCGCGGUAAAGCUACGU
rnacentral:rRNA from 1 species